rnacentral:sRNA from 1 species
GGAACUUUUCGGACGGGCGCGGGC